rnacentral:rRNA from 1 species
UACGGAGGGUGCAAGCGUUGUCCGGAAUCACUGGGCGUAAAGGGCGCGUAGGCGGCUCAUGAAGGCUGUGGUGAAAGUCCGGGGCUCAACCUCGGAUCGGCCGUGGCGACUCGUGGGCUGGAGCACUGUAGAGGCGGGUGGAAUUCCGGGUGUAGCGGUGGAAUGCGUAGAGAUCCGGAAGAACACCAGUGGCGAAGGCGGCCCGCUGGGCAGUGGCUGACGCUGAGGAGCGAAAGCGUGGGGAGCAAACAGG